rnacentral:rRNA from 1 species
AACUAAUUUCAACGUCAUAUUAGAACCCUUAAACAAUAUUGAGUAAUUCUAUACUAAUAUAGAAAAUUUUAUGUUAAAACUAGUAACAAGAAGAAGAACUUCUUAUAUAAUGCAAGUAUAAAUCAGACAGGACAUCCCACUGAUAAUUAACACCAAUGAAGAAAAAGUAGCAACUUAACAAGAAAACCCUACUAAAACAUAUGUUAACCUAACACCAGAGCAUUUCAAAAAAGAUUAAAAGAAAGAGAAGGAACUCGGCAAAUAUUAACCUCGCCUGUUUACCAAAAACAUCGCCUCUUGAAUAAAUAUAAGAGGUCCAGCCUGCCCAGUGACUUUGUUCAACGGCCGCGGUAUCCUAACCGUGCGAAGGUAGCGUAAUCACUUGUUCUUUAAAUGAGGACUAGUAUGAAUGGCACCACGAGGGUUAUACUGUCUCCUCUUUCUAAUCAGUGAAACUAAUCUCUCCGUGAAGAAGCGGGGAUAAAAUUAUAAGACGAGAAGACCCUAUGGAGCUUUAAACUAAGUAACACUUGCACUCCUAUAAUACAAAUUUCAGAAAAACAUCAUUUAUUUAUGCAAGAUCCUUACCAGUUUUAGGUUGGGGUGACCGCGGAGCAAAACACAACCUCCACGUUGAAAGGAACCCACUCCUCAGCUAAGAGUUACACCUCUAAGCAUCAUUACAAUGACAUUAAUUGACCCAAUAUUUUGAUCAACGAACCAAGUUACCCUAGGGAUAACAGCGCAAUCCACUUCAAGAGCUCCUAUCGACAAGUGGGUUUACGACCUCGAUGUUGGAUCAGGGUAUCCCGG